GUACACACCGCCCGUCAAGCCACGAAAGUGGGGGCACCCGAAGUCGCCGAGCUAACUCGCAAGAGAGGCAAGCGCCGAAGGUGACCUUCGCGAUUGGGACUAAGUCGUAACAAGGUAGCCGUAGGUGAACCUGCAGAAGGAUCA
rnacentral:rRNA from 1 species